AUUGAACGCUGGCGGCAGGCCUAACACAUGCAAGUCGAGCGGAUGAAGGGAGCUUGCUCCUGGAUUCAGCGGCGGACGGGUGAGUAAUGCCUAGGAAUCUGCCUGGUCGUGGGGGAUAACGUCCGGAAACGGGCGCUAAUACCGCAUACGUCCUGAGGGAGAAAGUGGGGGAUCUUCGGACCUCAAGCUAUCAGAUGAGCCUAGGUCGGAUUAGCUAGUUGGUGGGGUAAAGGCCUACCAAGGCGACGAUCCGUAACUGGUCUGAGAGGAUGAUCAGUCACACUGGAACUGAGACACGGUCCAGACUCCUACGGGAGGCAGCAGUGGGGAAUAUUGGACAAAGGGCGAAAGCCUGAUCCAGCCAUGCCGCGUGUGUGAAGAAGGUCUUCGGAUUGUAAAGCACUUUUAGUUGGGAGGAAGGGCAGUAAGUUAAUACCUUGCUGUUUUGACGGUACCAACAGAAUAAGCACCGGCUAACUUCGUG
rnacentral:rRNA from 1 species